CGCAGCCUUUCCUCUUUCUCUCUAAAACCCUAGAGGCGCCGCCCGUUCAUCCUACCUCUCUCAUGCUAGAAAAGGCAAAGAUUCAGUUUGCUCAGACUGUUGACAGUCUUUGUAUGAUCAAAAGCAUGAACCAUUAAUGUUUAACGCGAUUUCAUUCAAAAUUCUUCCAAACACGCAUGGCUGAGUGUCGAGGUUGGAAGCAUAAGGCUCCCAAGUCCAUUCUUUUCUUGGCUGCGCACAUAAAAGCCUUUUGGGCUAAGCUCCAGCCACCCUAUUCGGUCAAAGGCCCAAUAUGAAAAUUCUUUCAAGUUCGUUUAGUCUAAGAAGAAAAGAAAAAGGGGAAGCUAAUCUAUGGAAGGCCCAGUCAUGGGUGAAAAUGACACGAAGGCCCAACCAUGGGUGAAAAUGGUUACUAGGGGUUUGGUACACCCCUAGUCUACGUUAAUUAUAUUAUUUAUGCCAUCUCUACUUGCUUAAUGUUCUUUUUUUUUGUAUUGUAUUCAUACUUGUAAAAACCACAUAUGUUAUUGGGAUCGUUUAUGUUUUGAAUUCGGUAUCUUAGGCAAACGGUGCAUAUGCCGUUUAGAUUGACUCU